AUUCUGCAGGCUGGCAGAGUUCCAGCCUGAAAAAGCUGUUUGUAAAAGGGGUGGGAAAGCCCCAACCCUGCCCCAAGGGGCAGAGGGAGAGGGAAAGGAGGGGUCCGACACUUGCAUUUACCAGAGGCUUCUCUUCAGGCUCACUGUUCUUGCUGCUGGAGACUUGCUGAGCGUGGGCACAACUAGACAGCAGCCCAGUGCAGGAUGAAGGCCAAGAUUCAGAAUGCUGCUUUCUGAUGUGAAGCUGCAAGAGCUCAGCAGCAGGGCAUCCCUAUGCAUAACAUGUUGUACUAUCGACACCUCCACCCACUAAUGGAGAUUCUUGAACGCCAUGAAAUGAGACGGUCAACAUAUCCAGGCCAUCCUCCACUCCUAAGACCUUGACAACCAUGGGUCCAACUCAUGCUGCCUCAAGUGAGGAGGACAGGGGCAGGGUACUAGUACUGGCUCAUGAAGAUUCCUUCGAAGAGGAGAGACUGGGGACAUUGACUUCCACACCUGGUAUGUGAAGCCCUGGGAAAUCUUUAAGUCAACCGUCAGCUGAACUGACAAUUGUGAUUAGGCUAGACUGUGAGGUGAAGGGGAGGUGGGGAUGGUAUCGGGGUGGCAUCAGACACUGCUUUAAAGACUCGUCAAGUUAGUAGGCAAUGCAGGGAGGUACAGGGUAACAUAUGGCAGGGAGGCUAUGCUGGGCAAUUGUUUGCAGGUGCUCAGGGCUUGCAACCCACCACUUGGCCAUGCAAACCCUUCUUGGUGAUUUUUUGCCUGACUGCUUCUUAUCCACUCACAAGAUUUGCUGAGCACAGAGCUCUCUGUGGUGGCCAGAACCAGAGGGGUUACUAUCAUGAGCAAUAAAUAUAUGCUCUUGAAAGCAUCUGGUAAUUGUCUAAGCAGUUAAGAUUAACUAAUGCAAAGCUUGUAAGUUUGCAACCUGCAAGCAGAAUUUGUCGGUCACAAUUUAACCAGUGUUGAAUCUGUAGUGUGCAGGUUUGUCAUUACCCUGAAAUAGAAUAGUUUUCUGAAAGCAUAGUUAGGUUUACAAUAAUUUGGAUUAUUAAGAAGUAUUAGCUUUACAGCUGAAUACAAGGCAUGACCUGUGGCCUAGCAAUGCAGCUGACCACAAGGCAGAAUGAUAGCUAGGCCUUUGCUUGUGUCAAGUAAUCAUUUUAACUGCACCAAGCAUUUUCUGAGUUAAAAAGUGAAUCUGUGUCUGUGUGCUAAAAAAAAAUCAGCUACAGCAAGAAGUAAGAUAAGACAGAGAAACCAUUGUUUGAGCUUACUGGUUGUGUCCUUGAGAAGUUUCUUCUACUGUGUAAGGUUUUGCUAACAUAAUGUUACUGUUACUUAACUUUUAGCUUUUAAAAAGUGCUAGUUCAGCUUAACAGAAAUAUGCUGUUACAAAGAUUUGUAGAGCACCGCCCCAAGUAUUGCUUUUUGUUAACCAUAUAGUCUUGCUUUGUUGUAAGAAGUAUAAAAGAUCGCCUCACCCUUGAGGGGGGGCCAUUUUGCCUUUUGCUGGCUUUAUGGUCUUUGCUCGAGCAAAUAAACAGCUGUCUUUCUUUACCCGCGUUGUCUGUCAAUCAAAUUACAGCUAGACAACGGACCUUAGGGAGGUUUCUCCCACCACAAAUCUAACUGUUUGCACUGAUCAUGGGACCACUGAGCCCCAAAAAUAAGCAGAGCUACAAGAUUAGUUGAUCUAACAGGUUUUUUAAAGGUCAAGCCAUAACAAUAUUUGACCACCUAAUAUAAUUAGCACAUUCCAAGGAAUCCAGGAAUAAGAGACUAAGGGCAAAGUAAUGCUAAUUUCAAACCUCGAAGUAAUGUGGUGUAAUUUGCUUAUUGGGUGAACCUGAGUUCGGGCGGUAACCUUUCAUGAUAAUUUCUAACACCUUUUGAUCCCAUAGGGUAACACCUAUAGGGCAAGAUUGUGAGUGGCUCUAAAACCAACAGAUUAGCACAAGACAGGGUAUAAGGAAUCACGUAUGUCAGAUGACCAGCAUGAAGGACAGGACAGAAGGACCAUUGCUGUACCAAGCCUGGACCCCGGACUCCCAGUGUGAGUGAGGACCAGAUCCCGACCAAGGGACCUUCCCAGUGACCCCUCGGACAGUGUUGAUCGGGGAUGCCUGACUUUGCUGGAACAACUUGGCGUGCACCUGGCAUAGUGGAACUGCCGAUAAAUUGCCAACCCCAUGUGGGAACUCUUUGUCAUUCUGUCUAUCUGUUGUUAUCAUUCACUAUUAGCUCUUUAUUACUGUACUAUCUAUUUGUCGCAUUAACCUUUCUGUUAACUGUUGUAUGCUAAACUGUAAAUAAAUUUGCCUUUACUUCA